rnacentral:lncRNA from 1 species
CUUUAUUCUUGUUUCUUUGAAUGUAAAUUUUGUUAGAAAAUUUGCCAUCUCAAAUGUUGUAGAUGUGGUUCAUAUGAGCAUGAAUAUUGGAGCUAAAAUUUGGUGCCAUGAUUUUGGGGAAAUUCGGCCAAAUCCAAAGGGUGGAUUUUUGGGUUCUUGUUUGACUUGUUAAAAGUGUUUUCAAGUAACUUUUGGAACCCCUAUGUACCCUAGUUUGGUUAUAUGUUAUUUCCCUAAAGUUUGAAUGGUUUUGGAAUGUUUUUGGGUGAAAAUGUUCAUGGAAUUUUUUUGAGUUUUUCAUGAAUGUUCUUCAUUGUUCUUGACAUUUUAGCCAAGAACAAAAAGUUUUGUGUUUUGAUUCAAAGUUUUGAUUUAUUUCAUAAAGUUUAUGUUUUAUGAUUUUC